rnacentral:rRNA from 1 species
ACAUGCUUACAACAUAGUGUUAAUGCAUCAGAUCCCAUUAGAACUAUGUAGUUAAGUGUGCUCGGGCUAGAGUAGUACUGGGAUGGAUGACCACUUGGGAAGUCCUAGUAUUUUACAUGCU